ensembl:lncRNA
ACACUCGGUCCUCCAGCACCAUAGAGAGGGGAGGAUGGAGGGGGACCGGAAGUAGGGCGCUCGCUCACAGAGCGGGCGGUAAACGGGGGGAAACCGGGGGAGAAAUGGGGGAAAUUGAAGGAGCUGAGGUGGAUUUGGGGAAAUUUGAUGGGAUUUUGGGCAAAUCGGGGGUCCUGAGCGGGGAGAAUACGGUGGGAUAUUGGGCGAUUGUGGGGUCAAUUGAGGGGGGGGGUGCAGAAUUUCGGAGCGGUUUCCGGUGUUGAUUUUGGGGCAAAAAGUGGGGAAUGUGGGGAAGAAUGGGGUCCAGUUGCCUAGCAACGGGUGGGAGGGAAACGCGAGGCCGUCUCCAUGGCUCCACCGGAAACGGAAGACGGUGUAACCGGAAGUCGGAUGGUCGAACCGCGGGGACGGUCGCGCGGCAAUAGCGGCCCCGCUCCGACCGGAACCCGGAAGAGAAACACCGGAAGUCGGACAAACCAGAAGUAAGGGGCCGGAAGUGGGCGGUGCCUCCCUCCCAUUGGCCCGCGGAGGCGGAAGCGGGCGCGGCGGUGCGCGCGCAUCUCCAAGGCAACGGCCGGGGGCUCUCGGCCGCCGUCGGAGCCCCGGGCGUCGCCAUGGAAACGCGGCCCAUAGCGACGGGGCCCCCGCGGCCCCCGCCCCGCCCCAAGAUGGCCGCCGCAGGGCGGGGGCGGCGCUGUGCGGGCGCGGGGGGCGGCGGCUCGGGGGCGGCGGAGGGCGACGGGAGGCCGCCGGAGGUCAGUGCGGGGCCGGCGGGGGUCGCGGCGACGUCACGUGACGGCGGGGGGGCGACGUCCGCCGGUUUGGGGGCGGUUGACCCCCAUUUGGGGUCGACGGAGGCCGACUUGGGGUCAGUGGGGGUCAGCGUGGGGUCACGUGGGGAUGGGGGGUCGACGUCCGGCAGCGUGGGGUCAGCGUUGGCCAAUCAGGAGGCAGAACGCAGCCGGGGGUCGGCGGCGGCCAUCUUGGGGUCAAAGGGCACCGCUGUGGGGUCGCUGUCGGCCAAUGAAGGCCCAGCAGCCUCCAAGGUGGGACCGGAAGUGGGCGCGGCGGCCAUCUUGGUGCCUGAGCCAGCCAAUGGGAGCGCUGCGGGGUCAACUUCCGCCAUCUCGCGGGCGAAGUCAACCAAUGAGAGUGCUGAGAAGUCGGCGUCGGCCAUCUUGGUGCGUGAAUCAGCCAAUGGGAGCGCGGCGAGGUCGACGUUGGCCAUCUUGUUGGCAAGGUCAGCCAAUGAGAGCGCAGCGAGGUCAACGCCCACCAGUUUGGGGUCAAAGGUGACGACCACCACCCCAAUGACGGCCAGCUUGGAUCCGACAUCCGCCAUCUUAGGGUCAAAGGUCAUGACAUCUACUCCAACGUUGGCCAUCUUGGGGUCAAAGGUGACGACCCCCAACCGCCCAUCAGCCAUCUUGGAUCCAACGUCGGCCAUCUUGGGGUCAAAGGUGACGACCCCACCCCCAACAUCCGCCAUUUUGGACUCCGAGACCCCCACCCCAACAUCAACCACUGUAGGGUCAAAGGUGACGACCCCUACCCCCCCCUCGGCCAUCUUGGGGUCAAAGGAGACGACCCCCACCCCCCCGUCGGCCAUCUUGGACUCCGAGACCCCAACGUCAGCCAUCUUGGGGUCAACAGAGACGACCCCCACCCCAACGUCGGCCAUCUUGGAUCCAACGUCGGCCAUCUUGAACUCCGAGACCCCCACCCCAACAUCG